rnacentral:rRNA from 1 species
GAUAAACGCUGGCGGCGUGCAUGAGACAUGCAAGUCGAACGAAGGAUCGGGCUUGCUCGAUCCUUAGUGGCGGACGGCUGAGUAACGCGUAGGUGACCUACCCCGAAGUGGGGAAUAACUGCCCGAAAGGGCGGCUAAUACCGCAUGUGGUCGCACGUUCAUUCGUGCGAGUAAAGCCGCAAGGCGCUUCGGGAGGGGCCUGCGUCCGAUUAGCUCGUUGGUGGGGUAAUGGCUUACCAAGGCGACGAUCGGUAGGUGGUCUGAGAGGACGAUCACCCAGACUGGGACUGAGACACGGCCCAGACUCCUACGGGAGGCAGCAGUCGGGAAUUUUGCGCAAUGGGGGAAACCCUGAAGCAGCAACGCCGCGUGAGGGAUGAAGGCCUUCGGGUUGUAAACCUCUUUUGUCAGGGACGAUGAUGACGGUACCUGGCGAAUAAGCCACGGCUAACUACGUG